UAUUAUAAUAUAUUUCAUAUUUUUAUGAAAUUAAAACAUCUGAUAUAUAAAUUAUGACAUCCUAUGAGAAAUUUACAUCAUGUUCCUCUAAUAGUUGGCACUCUUCUUACUUGUCCCUCCUACUCUCCUCUUCUUGCCAUCCAUUGGCAAGACCUUCCAACAUCUCCUAUUCCAAGGCUUUCAACACCUUCCAUUCCAAGGCGGGUGUGCAACAGCACACCCCUCUUGAGCUUCCAGCAUCCAUCUGGAGGGUGGGGGGAGUAUCUCUCCAUCGAGCAGAAGUAUCACUGCAAUGGGAGCAUCUUCUAUUGCAACUUCACCAAUAGAGAAUGCUGGAGAAGAUCAUCCUGACCACACCUGCUAGCACUAACAUCUAUUUAUAGAAG
rnacentral:lncRNA from 1 species